GAAGGGAUGGCCCGGGGAAGGGGCUUUCGGAUUCCACGGUGUGUGUUAAUUGUGCACUUUCCUCAUCACCAGGCUCUAGACUGGCAGCGAGGUUGGACGUUGGGGGUAGGGGGAGGGGAAGAGGGUGACAUCAGAUGGCCCUUGCAUAGAGAUAAUUCUGGAUUUGUGCUCUUGAUGAAAGGCGUGUAUGACUGUCUAAUCUCCAAAUAGAGACCCCCAACUCCAAUCAGUACUGAUUUGGAUUCGCGGAUACGGUUUGGAGGCUCCUUGUGCUGACCCAGAAGUCUGAACCAUAUGAUGCUGCCUCCAUCCCUUGGCCAUCUCCUCCCCCCACCCUCCCAAGGUGCUUUCCGAAAACUCAGCAACUCUGUUUUUUGAAACUUUCUCUGCUUUUGCACUGCCUUGACAGAUUUGCCGGGUACCCCCGCACCCUGAUCCUGGUAAUUCACGUUGGAUGGAUUGUUGAUUUAAGUAGAUUUACCCUCCUUUGGCCAAGCUGCUGUAGUUAUGCCAGCGUUCGUGGUCGGGGUGUAGACUUUCAGGAAGGGCAGCCAUGAGGCUGCAUGUGUCCGGUGUGCGGAUACACCAUGAAUUUUCCUGAGAGUUGGCAGGCAUGGAAUAUUCUUCUGCUCGCUCGCGCCCCCGACUUCAGGCCUUUCUGUAAGAUGAGAGAAGAGAGGCGAUCACUCGCCAGAGGUUUUCAGGAGAAGCGGGUGAGGUUUGGUGUUUCCUUUCUUGUCCUCUCUUUUCCUAAGAGAGGCUGGCAGCCCUCGCUUGUCUCCCCCCUCCCCCGCCUUGGGUCCUGGCGACAGGAGCUGUUGAGUCGCUGGAGCAAACCUUGGAGAAACGUGUGUUUGUGUGUGGUGGAUGGGCGGGGGCUCUGAGGAGGUAGGGACUCUACUUGCUCUGCUGUUGGUUAUAGGAUGUCGCAGGCCUCUUUUGCAUACUGGCAGUGACAAGUUGAGACUUGUUCAUUUGACACAGUCCUGUGGUCACAGCGAAUCUUUCUAAAGCUCUAGCCAGUGGAGACGGGGGUUGUUUGGAUCGUCUGAACUCCGAGUGGGACUUCCUGAAGGAUUUAUUAGGAGGAAAGCCUUCCUGGAAGCAGCAGCAGAACAAACACAGGAUCCCUGGCUGGCAGAGCCUCGUGGCUUGGUCUCCACUAUUCCGGUGCAGUUACAUCUUGGAGGCCUGAUCUUUUGAUCAGGGAGGAAUUCAAAAGAAUGCCCCCUUGUGAUGGCUGCGCUGUCAAGUACAUGGAGCUUCCCUCGAGGAUAUUCUCAGCCUUGUGGAUGUACCGUGAGCCUCACUGCCUGGGGAGUAAGGCGGCGGAAGCAGUCUCUGGGGGGACCCAUGCCCGCAGCAUUUCUGGAUGCUAAAGGUGGCUUUAAGGAAGGCCCACCUGAGUGCCUCGUGGAUUCCUGCAGCCUGGAUGCCUGCGGGGGACAGAGGACUGAUGCUUCCUGCCCUCAUCACCACCAGGAAUGUCAGGAUGGGGCUCCGCCAAUUCCCUGAAGGGCUCCCAGUGAAACAAAUGGUGCCACCCUUGGUUGAUCAGCUGGGGCUGAGAGGAGAAGGCGAUGAUGGAAUGCGAGUGAAGCUCAACAUCUCAGCAUUUUCCAGGAGAAAUAAACAUUCCUGUGAUGGCUGUGGUGUAAUCUGAAAAAAUGCAGAUCCGUUCAGAACUCCAGAAGGACUUGAAAACUGUCCUGCCCCGAACUAAAGCUGGAAUAUCGUGGGCUUUGAAGAACCAAGGAAAAGCGCCUUCAUCAGGACACAGCAGUAAGCCCGCUGACUACUUAAGCCCUGCCUAGGUUCCUAGGAAAUGGGCAGGAAAAGUGCCUGCCACCUGCUGCUUGCUGGUGUGCUGUUUUGGCAGCAGGAGCUGUGGGAACACACAGGGGCAGGAGAACAAACACAUUACACACGGGGACUUCCAUCCUCCAGCCAGCAAGGUGCCGACACCUCACACUUGACACCUGCUGAGCGCCCUACUGUGUGCCCCGCCCCCCUGAACGAGGCAGCUGCGGAGCUUGGAUCCUAGUUGGAGAGACAGGCAAUUAGCAGGAUGGCAGGUCCACAUCCAGUGCUCUGUGUAGGAGCUGCCCUGUCAGUCUGUCUGGACGGUGCUGGCACUGACGGCCAUCUCUGGUCAACUGUGAUGGACAGGUAGCCUGAAUGAGUGAUGAACCUUCACUGCUUUAAGCCACUGGAAUUGGAGGAUGCGUGUCAGUGCCCCAUAACAUUGCCUGACUGAUCGAACCCACAAGACAGAGAGAUUUGACCCUUCACCCUGGAUGGAUCGAUGAAAAAACUGCUACUCAGAGAUGUUAAGUCCUGCAGAGGUCUCACACCUAGUAAGUGACAAAGAUGAAAGUCCAAGUGGUCAGGGUCCCCUCUGGUCACUGCAGUCCCCAGUGAGCCCGUGGAUGAACGUGGUUUUUCUGCUCUUGAUGAGUGGGUUUGGGGGACUAGGUCAUCCUCUCUUCUCUCCUCUUUAUCCUGAGAUUUAAAUCCUGGCUUCUUCUUUUCAGGAUCCUGGGAAGCACUUGACAGAGGGGACGAACCCAGCAAUAACACUGACCAAAGAGAAGUGAAUCCUUUUGCCCAGUGACUGGAAGACACAAGAAAGUGGGGGGGGGGGGCAGGAGGGAAGGAGCCUGGCACCUUGCCAUGCUUCCCCUGUAAGGAGCACACACUCUCUCCCCCACCCCCUCCCCCCAAACACAUAAUACCUUUUAACUGGUGAUUUGGUCACUGCUGCGCUAUCUUCAUUGAAUGUGGUUUUGAGAGAAUGGUUGGUCUGGAAAUUUUAUUUUCAAUUAAACUUCCUUGUUGAACUGCCUUGGUUUUGAAAGGACUCCAUUAGGAUGGCUAAUUAUAUAGCAGUUGCUACAAGGAGAUAUUUGCACUCCAUUGCAGCUCUUAGGUAAUUCAAAUCCAAUGCUUUCUCUUCUCCUCCCUGGAGCCGUGUGCGAUCAUCUUCCGCUCACACUGCCGGCUUCUCGUGAGUUAUUUUUGGAAUUUCAAAUCAAAACAGCGAUUUUGGCGGAUGGGUGGUGAGUAUAUAUGCUCUCGCCUAGCAGAGUAAACCACAUGGACUGAUACACCCAGCCCAAGAGUCGGUGCCUUUAAAGAGCAGCAAAACCAUCUCCCUCCGUGAAGGUUAAAUUGGGGGGAUCUGCACACUGUCCUUGAUGGUAUCACAGUCCUCUGUGAGCUCUAUCUGAAGUCAAAGAAAAUUGAGAUUCCUUGAAAAUUA